GCCAUCUUGCGCUCGCUUCGAGAUGGGUCUGGUUGUGCUGGCGGCGAGGAGGAUGGUCAGGUCUUGCACCCGUGUAUAGUUUCAGUCUCUUUACGCGUGUCCCAGCAAGCACAGAGCUGGGGUUGAGGUGACGCUCUUGAAAUCAGUUUGGCCUUUCAGCCAUAACCUACAACCUCACUUUUAUCCUCCAUUCUCUACAAUCUUCAAGUAGCAGAUACACAGGAAGGCAGGCCAAGAGCAGCAUCUCUGCUCGCUUUCAUUUCACUGUUGCUAUGAACUGGCUUUUUACGCAGACCUCAUUAGCAAAGGUGCCCUGCCCCUCUGAUUGCACAGAUUGGAAGCUGAAGCCACAAGAAGUGAAAGCAUUUGCCUCAGGAAACCGGGUCCAACAGAUCAGGUUUCCAGUUGCAGAUACAUGAGAGCUCUUCCCUGCCCUCGUUAUCCUCAGGAAAGUGGUAACAUUAUCCUCCUGCUCUCAUCUGGAACAGCUCCAUCCAGCCACAGGCAGGACACGUGUGGCUGUCCCCAGCUCACCCCCACAAGCUGUGGGUUACAACAGGAAGCCUUCGAGAAGGCACAAAGGAAAAAGCUGAACAUCUGGAGCAAUCAGCAGAAUGCAGAGGUGAGUUCGUGGGUGAUGUCGUCAGAAGUAGACGGCAGGUGGCACCCAUGGAUUAGUACAGGGCUUGCUCUGGGUGCUCUCUUGGUUGCAAGCAAGGAUUGCUGCACACAGUGCUGGCCUGGGGUACACAGCCUUUCAGGCUAUUCCCUUUACAGUUUGCUAGCCUAGGGAGCAAGGGCUCGAGGCCAAAAUGCCUGGGAUGCACACAGAAAGCAGGGCUGUUGUAGUAUGGAACAGUAAGUGCACUGCUUCCUCAGGGAUGGGAAGCAAGGGGAGAGGGAUGGGGCUGGCAGGAAAAGGACCAGACCUAAGGUAUCCGAGCAAGGAAAGCAAAAGGCAGCCAAGAGUCUGAGUCACCAGCUGUGCUUGCAGCAAUGAGGUUGGCUUGUGAUCAAGCUGAGACAUCAGCCCACAGGUCAGGAGCAGGCAUGCUGAAGGUAAUCAGGGUUAGAUGCAGCCUGGUGACCCCUGCUCAGGUCCCUAAAAGCACAGCAGACCUUAGAGCAAGCUUGGGUCAGGAUUCAGGUCAACACAGCCCAUAUGUAUUACGAGCAUAGCUGGGGCUGAACCUGAAGACCAGCACUUGUAGCAUAACUCAAGCAAAGAACAAGGGCACUGGGCUGGCCUUAAAUAGGCUCCUGGGCCAUUGGCAGCUGUGUGUCCCAGCGAGGUUUGUUCAGCACACAGUGCCUCCAGCAUUCUGACAUGCUGAUGCUUUGUGUUCCUCAAGAAGUAGGAACUCUUACCCCAUCCCCAAAGCACAGCAUCGAGCGUCUCUGCAGUGCACCUUCAUGUUGGGGCUGUAGCGAUCUCACCAGCUCCCCAUCAUGCAUGGUGCCUCCUAAAGCAGCAUUCAUGGGUGCUCAAGCUGGCUUUUGGGGAGGUGGAGCAGAAGGCAGCCCAAUGACCCUGACAUCGACGAGCACCGUGCUAUCAUGGCUCAGCAUUGACUGCAGUCCUCGUGCUGUCUGCCUGGGGUCCCAGUGGCACACGGCCAACCAACCAGGCAGAAACACUGAUCCGUUUGACUAAAUGCCUAUAAUUAAAAUGCAAUGAAGACAAUAAAACUAGGAUCAUUUGAAGGCCAGAGGAGAGAACGAGCUGGCCAGGAGUUCAUUACUUGCAAACAACAGCCCGUGGCAGCACAGACUGCUCGCAUGAUGGACACUGCACAUGUCCCUGCAAUUUAUUAUAUUUAUCAAACAUUAUGCUUAUAUUCCAUCCUCUGCUGGUCAACCUUUAUCAGCUAAAUCAAAAUUAAAGGUGUUAGCCUGCCUUUACAUUAUGGUAAAUGAUACAACUAGCUCCGCAUUAGCUCAGCUCAACCUGUUUUCCUAAUCCUGUGUGAUAUAGGAGGUCAGACAAACAUGUGGUGUUUUUUAACCUUAAUGGCUAAAACAUCCCCCAAAUACACCUUUCAGUGGACCCACUGUCUGCUGCAAGGGGCUGCUUCCCAUGGACCCCUUCCCACGUAGGUGGGAGCUCAGUGUCCCCAUCCGUGCAUAUGUGGAUUACCUGGUAAAUCUCCACAGCAUCCUCAGGGCAGAAAAAAGGGGCGUUUUCACACCAUGCUUGGAUGUUUUUCCCUCAGAGCUGGAAAAGGAGGGAUGGGGCACAGGGCAGCACAUCUCCAUGUGAUACAUAGGAUCAUGAGGCUGUGAUUCUUAGCCAAGCAGCCUGAAAACCUUCCAGAAAGGUGCACUGAGGAAGCUGUGGCAGAGAGCUGGCAAAAGCUUUUAGUUGCAGAUACAAAAAGAAAAGCAAUUUCUGCUGAAGGAUUUUUGUAUUAAAAGGAGAAAAUGAACAAUAGGGGAAGGCAGUGAGUGACCAUGGGUUUGGCUGGAUAUCUUCAGUAUCUCAACUACAGAAGCUCAGAGGAGUGUCAAUAGAGGAGAUUUAAUUGAUGACAAAUAUUAUGGCUGGUACAGAAUUAGAGGCACUCCAGACUGAGCAGGGAGGACUUUUAUAGCAGCUAACAGAUGAGCAUUGUGAAGGAUGACUAUGAUUCUUUGGGCAUUUCUGGGUUAGAUUGCGGUAAAAUUGCAGCAAAAAGCAAUUUUGCUUUAAUCAACUAUAUAACAAAGCCCCAACAUAGUGAAAAGCAGAAGGCAUCAGAAGAUAGGAAAUUGUCAGCAUUGCUGGAGCUAAAAGAUAAGAUUGUACUCCCCACAGCUACACUAAAAGAGGAUAAAUUAUCCAUAGGGGCAAUUCAGAAAGAAAAUAAUGUACAAUUAAAGUUGUUUGAAUUACAGUUUUAGGGAAGCACGGGAGGAGGAAAAAGCCAGUUUCAGUGGAAAGUCUGAAACCUCCUUCCAUGUGCUUUUAGAAAGCAGAACUCCUUUUGGGGAAAAUAGAAAAAAAAAGAAGAAAACAUGAUUAACAGGGCAGAGCAAACCCUAAACAGUAAAUGAUGUGUUAGAAUGGGCCUUGUAGGGAACCUUAUAGGAGCAGUCUUCAGAAAAAAGCAGACAGUGCAGAGGGUCAUGGUUGUCUUGGAUUUCUGAUGACAUCUGCCCUACUUUGGGCUCAAUUUGAGCACAGGGCAAACAGACCAUGGGCUAAAUGUUAAAUAAUAAGAAAAGCUGCUAGAGGAGUGUGGUCGCAUGAACUGAAAUAACUGCCCUGAGCCUACCUGUCACUUUUUGUCGGGGCAACUUGUGUAGGGUUGAAUUAGGCUGGGUUGGAUUAGUUUGGGCAGAUAGGGCUUGUGCCCAUGUCUCCAGGUGAGGAUGAGGGGCUCCAUGCUGCAGACCUCCCUGAAGCUCCGUGGACCAUCAGGCUGCUGGGAAAGCAUGGGAGAACGGGUGAUUUUUGGGUUCAUCAUCAGGUUUUAUGGUUUUGUGCGUGAGGAUCUCCUGCUUUCUUGUAGGGCCGUUCCUAAGCAGGUGGCAAGGAUAUUUGGAGCAAGUAGGUGCCUCCCGUUCUGCAAAAGCCCUUUCAAAGCCGACGGCUCCUCUUGACUUCCCACCAGGCAGCUGCCAGGGGGCCCAGCUCCAAGCAGAUGGUGAUGGGAGGACUGCGAGGUGGUAGCGGUGCGAAUACGGCAUCUUGUGCAUGAUGCACUUGGGACAGCUGGGAUGUAUAAGCCAAAAGCAGCAGCCCCAGCCGAGCUUCAUGGUGAUUUCUGCAGUUGCCAUGCUUCUUUCCUUGCUGGCAGCUGCCUUGGAGGAAGAGGAGGAGGAGGAGGAUGCUGAGAUGGAGGAGCUGCUUUGGGAAGGGCUUUUCUUGGAAAAGCUCUUCUGUGCAGUGCAGGAUGGGUUCCAAACAUGUGUGGGUGAGGCUGGAAAUGUGGUGCACCAGCUCUGCUUCCCCAAAUCAGCUGCUCUGUGAGCAACAGGAUGAGGUUAUUCCCUCCCAGCUCUUUAUUUCCCUUCAGAUCAUCCCAAUCCCACUGCUGUGUGUCUGUCCACAUUCUAACAGCAUGGUGCCUCAUGUGCAAGCAGGUCCAAUACCUAAUGGCCCGGGCAGACCUCUUGUUCUUCACCAGCACGAUGCCCUUUAAAGGUCCCUUCCAAUUCUAAGGAUUCUAUGACAUCUUCUGAAGAUCUGCACUUGGGGACGACCCAAGUGUCACCACCUGCACACGGUGACCCCAUCCUGCAGGG